UGGCCCCAUAGCUCAGCUGGCAGAGCAACUGACUCUUAAUCAGUGGGUCGCAGGUUCGAUCCCUGCUGGGGUCAU
rnacentral:tRNA from 1 species